rnacentral:lncRNA from 1 species
GAGUCAAACAAACAAAUCUGAGCUUGGAACGUCCUUGCCGUAGAUCUCAGCAAUUCUGUGGCAAGCCGAACAGCAAGUUGGUGCAUAUCCUAGAAGAUUCUUUUAUCUGUGAAGCAGGUCUAAUAAGACCAGACCUGCUUCCUCAAAGCAUGGCAAAUAGUGAAUGCAGUGAUGUUCGUGAGAGCCCUGUGUUCAUUCAUUCAUUCCUUUACUCACUUAUUCAGUCAAUGCAUUCAAGCCUUAAUAUAUUGGGGUUCGGGAUGCCCAAAUCCAAAGAUGAGGAUCCCACAGACUCUGCUUUCAAACAGCGCUAGUUUACGAAUGGAGUAGAAAUAGGAUGCUGGGGCUCUCACCGAGCUGCAGACAGAAUGAUGGGCCACGGAAGCUUGGUCCGAGCACCUGUCUACUCAUAAGGCUGCCCCGUUGUCCCCUCAUCUCCCACUACUCUGCCCUUCGCUCACUCGGUUCCAGCCGUAUAGCUCCCCCCACCCCCACCCCAUUCCUGGCUAUUGCUUAGCUUCAACAAAUGCCCCACUUCUUGGGAGAUUUGGGUUUGCUGUUUCUUGCCAAGAGUGGCCUUCCCUUCGUUAUCCACAUGAUGCCCCCUUAGGCAUUAUAUUUUUGAUCUACUCUCACCUGUGCAAUCCUCAGAGAGGCCCCUCUGUGCACAUUAUCUCAGAUAGCAUCUCAGUCACUCUCUAUUUUACUCUCUCUGUCUGAGAAUUAAGACCUUACUCCCUAAGCCGUCUGUUGUGUGGCAUGAAUUAACUUCUCUCCUGUGUAUCUGGAAUGCUAAUAGUUAUGCAUCAUCUUUAGAAAAAUUGAGAAAAUAGUCUCUCAAGUCCCCUUCUGUGCUCGGAUGAAGGAAGCAAGCUGAGUUGAGUUUCUUCAUAAAACUUCACUUACCAGAUACUGUAUUAUGAAUAUAUUUGGCUUUUUUUUUUUUUUUUGCUUUUUAAAUAUUUUUUAUUUUAUUUAUUUUUUGUUUGGUUGGGGUUUUUUGGCCACACCUGCGGCCUGUGGAAGUUCCCAGGCCAGAGAUCAAACCUAUGCCACACCAGCGACCAGAGCCACCGCAGUGACAACACUGGAUCCUUAACCCGCUGAGCCACAUGGAAACUCCUGGAUACACCUGUUAAUUUGUUUUUCUCUCUUUUUUUCCUUACUAAAAACACAAGCUUCGAGAAGAUGGAACUAUGGCUUGUUCACUGUUAGGUCUCCAGCACCUAGAGCAGUGCCUGGCAAUAUGCCUUUGUCGGAUGAAUGAAUGAAUGUAUGGCAGACGAACGAAUGAAUUUGAGAAAGCACCGAAGAGGUACUUUCUGAUUUGGAUCUGCUAAGACCAGCAGAAUUUUACUUGGGAGUUGGGAGCGGGAACGUUGCUCCAACAGUAGCACGGCAUGGCUUGGUGAAAUGGGCUUUAAGCUAGAGGGUACCAUGUCCAGGUAAAGUAGUGGCUUUCUGAAGUAAUAAAUCCAUACUCCUUUUAGCUUUACCACAGUUUUUCUCCUUCUUUGAGGAGUAUUAUUCACUGUAUGUGUACUCUAUUGUUCACACUAUAUUUUUAACAAAAAUAAAUUAUAUUCCCUGAGUAGACAUCUACCUGUUGUCAGUCUGCGUGCUCAAGAAACACUGAUUUUAACAUUAACUUAAAUACAAUAUAUAAUUGAAAUUUAAUAUGCCAGGGAGAAUAUUAUUAGGUAAAAUUUCGGACCUAACACGUUCCUUUGGCUCACCAGAAUUUUUCUUCUCAUACUAAUAAAAGGACUGCAUGUCCACUCGUUGAUUAAAGCAGUAAUAGUUUAUUGGGAAACCCUAGUGUGCGAGUCUUUUUUUCCGUAGUGCAAUGUACAGGCGAUGAGCGUUAGAUCCGCGCCACGUAAUGUGUGGUCCCCGGACCAGCUGGACCAGUGCCGGUCCUUGGGCAGUUCUUGCUGGUCUGUAGUGAGAAAAGCAGACUGAGUGAGAGGACACAUUUAGGAGCUUUCAUGGAAGUUUGACAACAAACAUAAUUUUCAAUGUAAUUUCUUUUAUUCUUGUUACAUUUUCCCAAAAGCAUGAGUCUGCACUGGAUUAAGAAAAACAAAGUAAAAAUCAGCCCUGCUUCUUCUGCUACUGGUUGUCUGAAGAACAGCACUCUAGACUGUGAUUUGUGGACUGCCUUUAGCUCCACAAAGUCUGCACUACGGGAGACACUGAAGAUUUAGCUUGGGGUCCACUAGCCUCAAACUUGAGGCAGGUGGCAGUAUCUGCUAAUAGUGCUGAGAGCUGAUAUUUUUCAGGUCCUCCUCUGUUCUAGGCAUUAUGCUAACAAUUUGAAAGCUGUUCUUUAGAGUUAGGGAUGGAGGAAAGUAUAAGCAGAUAUGAUGGCACAGGUGGUUUUUGCUCUGUGCCAGCCAGAUUUCUUUCAGAGGUAAUACUUGCCUAUAGAAAAUCUCAAGUGCCAGCCACUCUACUGUUAGUUAUGUUGCUUUGACCACUCAUUUGCUCUCAGUUCUGGGUUGGUUCUAGUAAAGGUUUGAGAAUUUAGGCCAUUAAACGCAUACAUGGGUACAGGAAAGGCUAAGCGUGUCAGGUUAUAUAUGCCUUGGAGACCUGGUGGAGAACCCAAAAGAUUCAUAGAGCCUCUUGCUUCAAGCAACCUGGUGUUCUUAACUCUGGGACAAAGCCAUUUGUGUCCAGGGUCUGGGUCUUGUUGCAUGAAGAUCUUGCUGUAACCGGUUCAGUUCUAGGUGGGCAGUAUGGUUUUUAGAAGCUCUGGCAUUCACGACCUCAUUGCCCAUUGUGGUCUUUUCAGAGCAUCCAAGGAAUGUGCAUGGAUAACAUUCUAUACAUUAAGCAACCUCUUAAGUAGUUUCCUGUGUUUGGAAACUCUGUGGACCAUCUUAGGCAUCCCUGCUAGUAAAACGCACACGGUGCACAUGUGAGGAGUGGUGGAACCUACGUCAUGCCUGGACCAACUCAGAUGUGUGCCUGGAUGGAAUGGGAAGAUGUGUCCUAGCUAAGCCACAUUUCACUGGUGUUUCAUCUCACGCUGUGCUGAAAGGUUAGCAAAUAGUUUAUGUAAAUGUGUUUCAGAAAGGCUCCAGAAACACGAUUACUAGGAUAAAUAGCGCAAUAGAGCAUCUCUUCUCAAACAGGGAUUCAGAAAUCAUGGUACCGGUUCUGCAGUGAUUUUGCUCAUGUAAGACUGUGACUCUGGGAGAUUAAGGCUCCUGAAAGAAAUCCAGCCAUAUUUUUAAUAGAAAUUAUAAAACUGAACUGCAGCUCAUAUCCACAAGCCCUUAAAGCUUUUAUGCCCCUGUGAUCAGGCAUAGUCAUGUAAUGUAGCAUUGCCGUAUUUCACAAAUAAAAAUCCAGGAAACCCAGAUCAACUUGAAUUUCAGUGAAACAGAUAAUAUUUUUCAGGAUAACAAUAUCCUAUGCAAUAUUUGGUAUUUAGUAUAAGUAUGCCUCAUGCAAUGCUUUGAAAAGACCACAAUGGGUAAUAAAGUUGUGAAUUCCAGGGCUUCUCAAAAGAAUAUUGCUCCCAGCCCACCUAGAACCAUGCAGUAUUUUGGACAUACUUAUAUUAAAAAAUACGCCUUGAUUUUCUGCGAUUCAAAUGUACACUGAGUACUUACUAUCUACUAGGUUCUGAAAUAAGAGUUUCCUACAUAUAUCUCAUUUAAAUUUUACAACACUCAUAAAAGAAAGUCAUAUCAUUAAAAAAGUUAUUUUAGGGGUUCCCUUGUGACACAGUGGGUUGAGCACCCAGCGUUGUCCCCGCCGCAGCCUGGGCCAGUACCAUGGCAUGGGUUUGAUUCCUGGUCCGGGAACUUUCAUGUGCUGCAGGUGCAACCAACAAAACAAAACAGAGCAGAACAAAACUUAUUAUAGAUGUGGAAACUCAGGCUUGGAGAAGUAAGGUCACUUGCCUCAGGAUCAGCUACUGAGCCAUCGAGCUGGGAGUUGAGGUCACAGCUCACAUUUAACUUCGCCCUGGACUUUUAAAACUUCAGUGUAGUCCAAGUGGCAUUUAAUAAUACUUUGGAAGCAGAUGGACUAAAACACACACACACACACACACACACACACACACACACACACACGCCCUUCCUAUCAGCAAAACAUCGAUCACUGGUUUCCAGACGGUGAAGGCUCCCCUCCUUCAGCUUAAUCUCUCCUGGUUCAAGUUACUAAUUGGGAUACUUGUAGCUUUUGUUGUCUAAAAAACCCCC